CACUACAACAAAAACGGUCUAUAGCGACACUUUUAAGUGUAGAUACAUGUCAAAAAAGUGCUGCUAGCUAAAAUUACCGACACUUUUAAAAAGUGUUGCUAUAUGUGGGGUCGCUAGGUAUAUACUAACAGUUAAAGAAUGUCGCUAUAACCUAAAAGAGUGCUGCUAAUAUACCAACACUUAUUUAAGCAUUUAGCAACCGUCGAAACUCUAUCUCGUUGGCUGCGCUGGCGGAGGAGGACGACAGGAAAGGCUCUUCGUCUAGAAUUUCAGUGGAUUGAGUAAAGAGAGAAGAAAAGAUGGUAAUUGAUUUUUCUUUUUUUUUCUUUUCUAUUUGUAAUCGGGCCAAAUAGACUGGGUGUUGUAGGUUGAGUAGAGUAAUCUUUUAUUUUUGGUUGGAUUAGGCUUUAUAUUUAGACAUUAGUAGAUGUUAUUUUAAGUUUUAGCAUAAAUGGGACACUUACUCAAAAGUGUUCCAAACAUGUGUCCUUAUAACCUAAUUCUGUUGUAAUGCUUAUAAAAAACACUCAAAUAAAUAAAGGG
rnacentral:lncRNA from 1 species